UACGGAGGAUGCGAGCGUUAUCCGGAUUUAUUGGGUUUAAAGGGUGCGUAGGCGGAUCGUUAAGUCAGUGGUCAAAUUGAGGGGCUCAACCCCUUCCCGCCAUUGAAACUGGCGCUCUUGAGUGGAAGAGAAGUAUGCGGAAUGCGUGGUGUAGCGGUGAAAUGCAUAGAUAUCACGCAGAACCCCGAUUGCGAAGGCAGCAUGCCGGCUUCCGACUGACGCUGAAGCACGAAAGCGUGGGGAGCGAACAGG
rnacentral:rRNA from 1 species